rnacentral:rRNA from 1 species
AGUGAACGCUGGCGGUAGGCCUAACACAUGCAAGUCGAACGGCAGCACAGUAAGAGCUUGCUCUUACGGGUGGCGAGUGGCGGACGGGUGAGGAAUACAUCGGAAUCUACUUUUUCGUGGGGGAUAACGUAGGGAAACUUACGCUAAUACCGCAUACGACCUACGGGUGAAAGCAGGGGAUCUUCGGACCUUGCGCGAUUGAAUGAGCCGAUGUCGGAUUAGCUAGUUGGCUGGGUAAAGGCCCACCAAGGCGACGAUCCGUAGCUGGUCUGAGAGGAUGAUCAGCCACACUGGAACUGAGACACGGUCCAGACUCCUACGGGAGGCAGCAGUGGGGAAUAUUGGACAAUGGGCGCAAGCCUGAUCCAGCCAUACCGCGUGGGUGAAGAAGGCCUUCGGGUUGUAAAGCCCUUUUGUUGGGAAAGAAAAGCAGCAGGUUAAUACCCCGCUGUUCUGACGGUACCCAAAGAAUAAGCGCCGGCUAACUUCGUG